CUUUGGCUGUCUCCUGUGUUUUGAUGUACAAAGUCUUUGUGGAUUAUUGACUUUUCCCAGAUCAUGUUAUGAUACAAGGUGGGAUGAGAAAUGGAUUACAUUGUCAAUGGCCUACACACAAUACCCCAUAAUACCAAAGUGCUUUCAGACAUUUUUACAAAUUAAUAAAACAUGAAAAGCUGAAAUGUCUUGAGUCAAUAAGUCUUCAACCCCGUUGUUAUGGCAACCCUAAAUACACUCAGGAGUAAAAAUGAGCUUACCAAGUCACAUACUAAGUUGUAUGCCUUCAUCAUCUCUGUACCCCACACAUACAAUUAUCUAUCUGCAAGGUCCCUCAGUCGAGCAGUGCAUUUCAAAGACAGAUUCAACCACAAAGACCAGGGAGGUUUUCCAUCCAUAGAGACCAGGGAGGUUUUUCCAUCCACAAAGACCAGAGAGGUUUUCCAACCACAAAGACCAGAGAGGUUUUCCACCCACAAAGACCAGAGAGGUUUUCCAUCCACAAAGACCAGAGAGGUUUUCCAUCCACAAAGACCAGAGAGGUUUUCCAACCACAAAGACCAGAGAGGUUUUCCAUCCACAAAGACCAGAGAGGUUUUCCAACCACAAAGACCAGAGAGGUUUUCCAUCCACAAAGACCAGAGAGGUUUUCCAACCACAAAGACCAGAGAGGUUUUCCAUCCACAAAGACCAGAGAGGUUUUCCAACCACAAAGACCAGAGAGGUUUUCCAACCACAAAGACCAGAGAGGUUUUCCAUCCACAAAGACCAGAGAGGUUUUCCAUCCACAAAGACCAGAGAGGUCACCCACAAAGACCAGAGAGGUUUUCCAAAGCCUUGCAAAGAGGGGCACCUAAUAAAAAGCAGACGUUAAAAAUCCCUUUAAGUGAAGUUAUUAAUUACACGUUGGAUGGUGUAUCAAUACACCCAGUCACUACAAAGAUGCAGGUGUCCUUCGCAACUUAGUUGCCGGAGAGGAAGGAAACAGCUCAGGGAUUUUACUAUGAGGCCAAUGGUGACUUUAAAAUGGUUACAGAGUUUAAUGGCUGUGAUAGGAGAAAACUUAGGGUGGAUCAACAAUAUUGCAGUUGCUACAAUAAAUUAAAAUAUUCUAAAACAUGCAUCCUGUUUGCAAUAAGGCACUAAAGUAAAACUGGAAAAAAAUGUGUCAAAGAAAUGUACUUUAUGUCCUGAAUAGAGCAUCAUGUUUGGGGCAAAUCCAACACAACACAUCACUGAGUACCGUUCAAGCAUGGUGGUGGCUGCAUCAUGUUAUGGGUAUGCUUGUCAUCGGCAAGGACUAGAGAGUUUUCUAUAGGAUUAAAAUAAACAAAACAGAGCUAAGCACAGGCAAAAUCCUAGAGGAAAACCUGGUUUAGUCUGCUUUCCAACAGACACUGGGAGACAAAUUCACCUUUCAGCAGGACAACAAUCUACAACACAAGGCCACAUCUACACCGGAGUUGUUCACCAAGAUGACAUGGAAUGUUCCUGAGUGGCCUGGUUACAGUUUUGACUUAAAUGGUCUUGAAAAUCUACAGCAAGACUAUAAAAUGGCUGUCUAGCAAUGAUCAACAAACAACUUGACCGAGCUUGAAGAAUUCUUUAAAGAAUAAUGUGCAAUCCAGGUGUGCAAAGCUCUUAGAGACUUACCCAGAAAGACUCACAGCUGUAAUCACAGCCAAAAGUGAUUCUAACACUCAGGGGUGUGAAUUAGAUAUUUUUUUGUAUUUCAUUUUCAAUAAGUUAGCAAACAUUUCGUUUUCACUUUGUCAUUAUGGGGUUCUGUGAUGUCAUUACGGGGUACUGUGAUGUCAUUACAGGGUACUGUGAUGUCAUUAUUGGGUACUGUGAUGUCAUUAUUGGGUACUGUGAUGUCAUUAUUGGGUACUGUGAUGUCAUUACGGGGUACUGUGAUGUCAUUAUUGGGUACUGUGAUGUCAUUAUUGGGCACAGUGAUGUCAUUAUUGGGUGCAGUGAUGUCAUUACGGGGUACUGUGAUGUCAUUACGGGGUACUGCGAUGCAUUACGGGGUACUGUGAUGUCAUUAUGGGGUAUAGUGUGUAGAUUGAUGAUUGAGUUUAGGCUGUACAUAAGAAAAUGUGGAAUAAGUCAAGAGGUACGAAUACUGCCUGAAGGCUCUGCACAUCUUUUGUGAUAAUACUGUUACCUGGAGCUAUGCUGUGUUAAAGCUCAUAUCUAUACAUCUGCAUUUGGAAAGUUAGUUUCAUUGUGUUCAUUUUUUUUUUCAUUUUCUUUUUUUUGUUGUAAAAAGCAUAAACAAAAAUAACAACAAAUGCUUAAGCAAUGUCGUCCAGUAAUGUGUCUUUCUGUAGCUACUCUGGUCCAUCAUAAAACGGUAUUAACAAUAACAGGGUUUGUGUUAGCUAGAUGUUCUGCUUUACACAAAAGAACAAGAAAACACAGUUCAACACUGUACAAAAAACCUAGCAAUUAUGGCUCUACAUUGUAAAAACGUUUUGCCUAAAGAAGCAUGCUGAAAUAACCUUUGUGACAGUGCAAAUACAUCGAUGUCCCUGGUACAAAACAUUUAGGUUAGCAUUCCGUGAAACAUGCUAGUUCUCAGAAGAGAUCUGAACCAGUCGUAGAGUAGCAGAGUAGCAGCUCUGAGGAGAGAUAGCUUGUGUCUUUUCUUCUCGGACAAACGUCCUUCUUUAAAAGUACUACGAGGUAACUACCACUGACACAUACACACAGGAAACAGCUCAGAAACAGGAUGCUUUCUCUCUCCUUUUGCUAGAAAGAGGAGGGGGGCGGUGGGAGGGGACUGAAGUUGUGGUUGGUUAAAGUAAUAUACAUCGUCACAACUGUCCAACACAUUCAAUAAACAUUGGAGACGUUACAGGACAGAAAGAGAGUAGAGUUGGGUUCAGAGGAGAUGGAGGAGAUGGGCAGGACAGAGAGAGAGUAGAGUUGGGUUUAGAGGAGAUGGAGGAGAUGGGCAGGACAGAGAGAGAGUAGAGUUGGGUUCAGAGGAGAUGGAGGAGAUGGGCAGGACAGAGAGAGAGUAGAGUUGGGUUCAGAGGAGAUGGAGGAGAUGGGCAGGACAGAGAGAGAGUAGAGUUGGGUUCAGAGGAGAUGGAGGAGAUGGGCAGGACAGAGAGAGAGUAGAGAGUUGGGUUUAGAGGAGAUGGAGGAGAUGGGCAGGACAGAGAGAGAGUAGAGUUGGGUUUAGAGGAGAUGGAGGAGAUGGGCAGGACAGAGAGAGAGUAGAGUUGGGUUCAGAGGAGAUGGAGGAGAUGGGCAGGACAGAGAGAGAGUAGAGUUGGGUUCAGAGGAGAUGGAGGAGAUGGGCAGGACAGAGAGAGAGUAGAGUUGGGUUCAGAGGAGAUGGAGGAGAUGGGCAGGACAGAGAGAGAGUAGAGUUGGGUUUAGAGGAGAUGGAGGAGAUGGGCAGGACAGAGAGAGAGUAGAGUUGGGUUCAGAGGAGAUGGAGGAGAUGGGCAGGACAGAGAGAGAGUAGAGUUGGGUUCAGAGGAGAUGGAGGAGAUGGGCAGGACAGAGAGAGAGUAGAGUUGGGUUCAGAGGAGAUGGAGGAGAUGGGCAGGACAGAGAGAGAGUAGAGUUGGGUUUAGAGGAGAUGGAGGAGAUGGGCAGGACAGAGAGAGAGUAGAGUUGGGUUUAGAGGAGAUGGAGGAGAUGGGCA